rnacentral:tRNA from 1 species
GUUCCUGUGGUUUUAUGUGUUCUUUAGUUGGAUAAUGAUUGAUUGUUCC